UACGUAGGGUGCAAGCGUUGUCCGGAAUUAUUGGGCGUAAAGAGCUCGUAGGCGGUUCGUCGCGUCGGCUGUGAAAACCCGGAGCUCAACUCCGGGCCUGCAGUCGAUACGGGCGGACUUGAGUGUUGCAGGGGAGACUGGAAUUCCUGGUGUAGCGGUGAAAUGCGCAGAUAUCGGGAAGAACACCCGUGGCGAAGGCGGUUCUCUGGGACGGUACUGACGCUGAGACGCGAAAGCGUGGGGAGCGAACAGG
rnacentral:rRNA from 1 species